AGUUUCUCAGCAGGUGCAGAGCAAGAGAGGCGUCAAUGGUAAAUGCAGCCUAAGACAUCAGGUGCUGAGGACAUUCUUGCCUAGAAGCACAAGAAAGGAGGCAGACCUUCACCUAGAGAGAUGCUGAUGAAAGUCAACUAGGGGACAGGCAGGGUGCUGCAGGCACUGUGGGCUGAACAGCAUUCUGAUGGCCACAGCAGCACAAGCAGUAGCUGUCCCCUCUGCUGGCUCUUGGCCUGUGUCUCAUGCCUCUCUUCUUCCCACAGUCCCACACUGGCACAGCUUUCGCUCCAGGCGGGCAAGGAAGCAGGCUGGAAGACACCGAGAUGUGAAAUUUUGGACCAGCAGCACCCAGAAAGUGUCUCCCUAAUAGUUUGGAAUUGUGAGUCGGGUCUCCAUUCAGCUGGAAAGGAACAUUAUAUAAUCAUAGAAUCAUGGAAUCACCAAGGUUGCAAAUGACCUGCAAGAUCAUCACAUAGGGUAAUGAGAUGACUGAUAAAGAUUACAGAUUGAUUAAAUUAUUGCAAAACAAAAGCAAGGAAAAUAUCACCAGAAAUUAAUUUACAAAAAAAAUCAGUCUUUAAAUGUUCUCAAGCAACACUAAUUUAAUCUUUUCAUUGCUUUGAAGAAAUGAUGUUACAUGAAACUCAGAACACAUUUCAAUGACUUUUGAAACCCUAUAGAAACUUAAAUGACUUUCAAAUCAUGGCUCUUCCUACCUCUUUUUAUUUUUUUUUAGUAUCACUUGGGAGCAUGGUGGAUAGGUAGGUCUCUUCACCAGGAUAAGGUGUGAGUACUUUUUGUAUCUGGGAAGUAAAAAACCAAAAACCUAGAAAAAUCUAAUCCACAGACCUAGAUGCAUCAAAUAAUGAUGUGAAAUACUAAAUCUGACCCCCUGACAAGCAAACAUAUGCCAACAAUUAGUUCUAAGACAGGAAAAUUAAGCACAUUCUCUACGUUUGUGGGUUUUUGUGGCCUCUCUACUUUGUCUGUAAGAAACAUCACAAACAGGAGAGAAUUUAGAAGACUGUGUUUUAAGGUUGGAGAUACCUUAGGUAUAGUAUAGGUGAAUGUGUAAGCAAUAUAAAUUCAAGUGCUUAUAUUUAAACAUCUAACUUCAAAUGCCAAAUUGUUACCAGCUCCUUCAACAGAAAGAGCAGGGAUUCCUUCCACGUGCAGGUCUGGGAUUUCCUGCCCCAAUAAGUUCCUUGCCUGCUCCCUGCAGCUGGCUCUAUCCAAGGUGGCUGACUCCUAUCUCAAAGCCCAUUCUUUGCUUCCAAGAUGCUUCUUUUUUUU
rnacentral:lncRNA from 1 species